rnacentral:rRNA from 1 species
AUUGCAGGCUGCAACUCGCCUGCAUGAAGUUGGAAUUGCUAGUAAUCGCGAAUCAGAAUGUCGCGGUGAAUACGUUCCCGGGCCUUGUACACACCGCCCGUCACACCAUGAGAGUCGAUAACACCCGAAGCCUGUGAGCUAACCGCAAGGGGGCAGCAGUCGAAGGUGGGGUUGAUGAUUGGGGUGAAGUCGUAACAAGGUAGC